AAAAAGAACCUGAGGCAGGCCCUGGAUUGAACAUGGGGGUCCUGACCCAGCUCCUCUGCCUUCUGCUGGCCUGCCUCCUAGCUGCCGGCGGGACCGCUGAGUUGACUCAGUCUCCCACCCAUCUCUCUGUGUCCCUGAGAGACAGCGUGUCCGUCAUCUGCAGGGCCAAUGAGAGCGUUAGGGAUUACUUAAGCUGGUAUCAGCAGAAACCAGGCCAGCCUCCCAAGCUUAUCAUCUAUGAUGCCGAUAACCUAGAGUCUGGAGUCUCAGACCGCUUCUCUGGGAUUCAGUCUGGCACAGAAUUCAUCCUCAAAAUCAGCACAGUCGAGGCUGAUGACACCGCCGCUUAUUACUGCCAGCAGGGUUAUGCGCUUCCUCCCACGGUGCUGCAGCCCCGAGCAUAAACCCUCCUCCCGGGCUGGGGCUGCUCCUGCGGCGACGGUUGUCAGGUGGUCGGGA